UUGAAGUCAUUUUGGGUUCAGCCUUCUGGCUUUUUUCGCUGGUGGAAAAGUGGAAAACGCCGCUUAGAUGCGUCCGUCACGAAAGUGAGGUCCCAUCUCGGGUACUGCGGCAGCAGGGACGUUGCUAAUGGGAACAAAGUCCAGGCAAGAUAAUCGCGAAAUGUGCUCUAUGCCGAAAUCUAGGUGUCCUGAAAUGAAGAGGUUUCACAGCAGGGAAAAGGGAUCAACGGUUUCACUGCGUUCGUACUCUUUGCCUCAAUCUUGGAAGCAGGAGCCUUGAUCGAAAAACAAGACACGUCGUCGCCUGAUGUCCAUUCAAAGUGUACAUCAGCAAGUAGCCGGGAUUGUUAGGGUCUGCUAAUCGGCGAUACUGAGGGUCGACAAUACCAGGAGCGGCCCGGACGGACCGGCAAAUCCCCAUACGCAAGAACUUAUCGCGAUGCGGCAGCGGUUUGUUCAUGGCGACUGUCUGUGGCACCCCAGCAGCAUGUGCUUGACUCAUAACUAUACGUGCAACACAACGAAAAACUCUUCGUAGCGCUCGCGGGUAGAAAAGCAAUGCAGCUCGUGAUCAAUGUGAGGUACGAAGAAGCCUCUCGGCCUCCCGCUACAGUAGGCUGCAACGUUCUGUGCCGUAAUAGCCAGCUAGGCGUGAACUGCUCCAAAGGCUGCUGUCUUCACAGCUCCAACGGAUCACAGAUGAAAGUCAAUACGUUAAAAUGUGGUGUGCAGCGAAGACGGGUAGUCACUCGCGCGAGUUCUGCGUUCAACCGAAUCUCAACUGAACCUGCUAAAGUGCUCAACAAGUUCAUUUCCGAACCCUGAGUCACGUGGCAACCUUCCUUCUUGCCUCCGAGCCAGACUUGCCGUCAGUCUAGUAGUCGGUGUUCCUCAAGAAAGCCCCUUCAAGGAAGCCGCACCAGAAGGUAGCACGACGCACGCAUGUACGCAUGCCCAUAUAAUUUUGCACUCUGCAAGUUUUCCCACGUCUUGUAAACGUUCUCACAUUACAUCUCAGUCUUCGUGAGUGGCUUUUUGGCCGUAUUUAUGAGCGGACAUACGCGAAAUGGAAACGUCACAUGUCACAUCUGCUGUUCUUUUGGGCACGCCGAUUUCUGGGCGGGUCGUAAUGCCUGUCGCGAAAACGCAAGACAGAGACAUUUCUUGCAUUUGGAAGUUCCGGAAUAACAAUUGUUAACAUCGAUGUGGGUGCCGAUAGUUGUACCUUUCGAAACUGCCGCAUCGAAUAGCUAGGUCGGUGUGCGC
rnacentral:lncRNA from 1 species